UCACACCAGCCACAGGAUAAUUCCCACUAAAAAGCAAAAAUAGUCUAUUGAAGGUGCCGGUCUUUUGCCUACAUCUACUACGGGGUUUCACCAUUGCGAGGGGGCAGGGCUCUGAACACCCACACCUAUACGCACCAAGACGACUUUAUGCAGUCAGGACAUACAGCUGAUCCUCACACGUGUAAAAUCCUUAACUACCGAUUUUGGGGGCAGCUUGGGCACCUCACACUGGCAGGAGCAGGGCAGAUGCAUGAAGUUUCCCCAGGAUUUUAUUCUUUUUAAAGACAGAACUGAGGUCUGCGUGGCCGGGGAGCACUUGUUCACCUGCUGUCCCCCAACAUCGAUGACCCACUGAAGUUUUUUUGUGCUCUGUCCAUCCACCGAACCCGAAAUGGAGAGAACCUGAAGCAGAGUGCAACCGGCUGCUUCAUUAAAUACAACUGCUUGUGGCUUUUUGCGAAGAGAAAGAAAAAAAAAUAUAAAAUCUUUUGACAAACUACUCACACGAGAGGUUGCUAAACAACCUUCCCCCUCCGUUUCCUCAGCAAGGGGCAAACUUCGCGGUGACCAACACGCAGCUGCCAGCGAGGAACACAAGGGCAGUCAAUAGAAGGCUGACGGUGUCAGUAAAAGCAGAAAGAUGAAGUAUCUGGUACUAUUUUGACAACAUUAAAGCCACUUACGUGCAUCAUUCCUGUUUUUCCGCGUGCAGGCGGCCAGGCUGCAGAGUCGCGCUGGCGCUGCCACCGGCCUCCACAGAGUUUUCAGCUGCUUGUACAAAUGCGCCAGGGUUUUCGCCUUCACACCAUUCAUUGCUAUCACCUUGGCA